UUGCUUUCUUAAUUUCAGCAUGUGGGUUUUGUGAUAUAGGUCCCUUUCAUGAUUUUCCAAAUACAAUGUCAUCACUCAAAAUGUAUCAAUACUAAUCACAAUAGUAGACAAAGAAACACAUUCCAACAUCUUCUAUACAUAGAUCUAGAAUUUUUGUCCAGUGAUAUCAAUCACCUUGUUCCACAAAUCUAAAUUUGAGAUAAAUCCUCUUUUUUCGCUUAGGUGGUUUUGUUUCAUUGUUAUUCCACAUCUGAAUUAAUCCAAGCUGUUGAUAACAAAGGAAAGAGGUGAAGAAAUAUAAGUUGAUUAGCCUAAACCCAUUCCUACUGUGAAAAAGAGCAUGUAGCCAGCCUGUGAGCAAUGGUGAGUAACAUCAUCAUUACUAACAAAUAUGAGCCAUUUUUAGGUAUUCUAAUCUCGGGCUUCAAAGUCUAAAACAUUAAAAAAUAAAAGAAUAAAACCUUUUUGUUUAAAGAAAUGCUGGUUUUCUAAUGGCACAAAGGUCAAUCAUUUGCUUAUGUCUAGUAAAAAUGAGGAUUACAUAUUAUCUCUUUUAGAACUAGAAAACAAGAUUAUAUUAGAAUGCAGAUUGUUGGAAAUGAGGCAUUUUUGAUGUAUCUGUUUAAUUCUCUCAUUCAACAUAUGUCUAACCUGUGUGAUUUUUCUGUUAAAUAAUAUCUAGGCCAACUAGAAAUCUACACAAUAUUUCUAGUCAUGAUUAUUUUCUAUGGGUUUCAGAGCAAGUACCAAAAAUGUACAAAUAUCUAAAAUUUAUUUUUCAUUUCUUGAAUGCUAAAGCAUGUGAGCAUCUUGGUCUAUUAUAUUUAGUCAAGAAUAUCUUUCCACUAUUUCUGCAUUAAACAUUAAUGAGUAGAUUCCUUUGGAAAUUUGGCAUUUCGUCCUGAACUAGAAUUAGAAAAAGUUUUCUCUUCAAACAACUGGAAACAGCAUGUGUUCUGUUUAUUGCUUCACAUCAAAGCCAGCCUUAUAAUUCCUUUCUGAUUUUGUCUGGAUAAGUUCAAAUUAGCUACUACAUGACUAGCCCAGACAGCCUUUCAUAAUCAAAAUUGGUUGGCAAAUGGUAAGACCUUUGGCUAAAACUGUGUUUUCCUGUGCUGUUAUUAAUUGUCUAGCUUAGAAGAAACUGAGAGUUGUACAGUUGCUUGUUUUCUAAUGAAGUUUCUUAAAAUCAUAAAAUGGUGAAGUAUAGUAGAACAACAACAAAAAAGGCUCUCGGAGGAUAAAUUUCAUCCUGUGUUUCUGUGGAAAUAAUUAGAUUUUGGUUGCAUUUUUCCCCAAUCUGUGAGACAUGAAUGCUUUUGAAAAAAAAAUGAGUUAUUAGAUUAAAAUAUACUAAAAAUUAAGCCCCAUGUUUUAUUAAAUUCAGCAGAAAUAAAAUUACUCUGUCAGAAUGCUGUGAAAGGUUUUUAAAAAUUUGCUCUCACUUUCUGUACUCAUUUAAUCUCAUAUCAGUAACAAAAAUUUUCAAAACUGGCAUCAUUCUGCGGGUCAUAUGUUGAAUAGUAGUAAUACAGUUGGUUUCCCUCAUUUAAUAUAUGGUGUCUCUGAGACUCCUGGAGGACUAAUGUUUCUCUCAAAAUCGCAGAGACAAUUGCUGGCAGCAAUAGGGCUUGAUUUUAUGACCUUCAAUGCAUAGGCCAAAGUACUUUGUAGUAGAGCGGGCUGCCUCAACUACUAACUCUUAAUGAAGAUGUAAGGAGAGCCUAGAAGACUCAAAUUCAGGCACCUGUGCAAGUCACUGCCAGAGUUCAAAUUGGUUUUCACUCUUGUAUAAAUUCCAAAACAUGUAGGUGUUGAGUUCCUGGACACUUCCCUCAGAAAAUUUGACAGACAAAGAAGUAGUUUGAGCAUUUUUAAUACAAAUUUUAUACUUUUAUUUAAAAAUUAGAAGCAUUAACUCUGUAAAAUAAUUAACAUGGAUGCCUGUAUAAUCAUUUAAAAUUUUGACUUUGCCUUGGAAUUCAAAGCAUGGUAAGUUCAUGUGAUUUAUGCAUUUUUUUCCUCUUUCUUUCUCUUUCUUUUUCCCUUCCUUCCUUCCCUCUCUCCUUUCUUUCAUUUUUCUCUCUCUCCUUUCUUUUCUUUCUCUCUUUCUCUUUCUCUUUCUUUCUUACUUCCUUCCUUCCCUCCCUCCCUCCUUCUUCUCUCUUUCUUUCUUCCUUUUUUUUUUGAUGGAGUCUCACUCUGUCACCCAGACUGCAGUGCAGUAGCAUGAUCUUAGCUCACUGCAACCUCUGCCUCGUGGGCUCAAGAGAUUCUCCAGCCUCAGCCUCUCGAGUAGUGCACACUACCAUGCCCUGCUGAUUUUUGUAUUUUUGUAGAGACAGGGUUUUGCCAUGUUGGCCAGGCUGGUCUCAAACUCCUGACCUCAGGUGAUCCACCCGCUUUGGACUCCUAAAGUGCUAGGAUGUAUACAUCCUAUUAUAGGCAUGAGACUGUGCCCAGAACUUCCUUUUAAAGAAAAUUUCUGGAUACAGACUGAUAUUCAAACUGACAGCACUAGUUUUCUCUUUUUAAUUAAAUCUUACCUGGGAAAUAGACUGUCUGACUGACACUGUUAAUUUUUAUAAACGUCAUUAAAUAUCAGAAGAUUUUUGAAAAAUGAAACAGCUCCACAGAUAAGUCUGCAUGCAGAAAAUAUCUAAACUCUUAGAUUACCCAGUCAAGCUCUACUUCUCAUCUUGAUCUGCAUGUUACUGAUUGUUAAAUUAGAAAAAUGAAGUUAAUUAUAUUGUAUACAUUCUAGCAUAUACUCAUAAAAGCAUAUAUACUAUAAGUAUUUAGUCAGUUUCUAAAUUACCAAUACAUUGAUAUAUUAAUGAUCUAAAUGUCAGUUUCUGAGUAGUAUAUUUCUAACUUACUUUGUAAUUUUCCAAAGGAAAAAAAUCCUAUAAAUGAUUUCAAAGUACCCAAGCUAUUAAAUAGACAUAUUAUAUAUAUAUAUAUGAUACCUCAAUUAUAAUACAUACAGCAUGAUAGAAACUUACCAUCAUGCUUAGCAGUGUGUGAAUUUUUACAAUGUGCACAGAAUUCCAGGAAAGCAAAGAUAAGUCUGACUCAUUUUUAAUUGAACCAGGGAUUACUUCACCUCAAUGGGCAAUGCCUUUCUGUUAGAGUAGAAUGAAUUCUCUUUCAGUUCUAUAACAAUAGCAAAUCCUAUCACUUUGAAGGCUGUAGAGGGCAAAUAGAUGGAUAUCUUAAGCACACUAGGCUUCGGACCAAUUAGUUGUAGUCAUUUAAUAAUUAUUCAAAGGCCUGUUAAACCCAAAGUCUGUGCUCUUGUCACCAGAAACACCAGAAAAACAAUUUUUUAAUAGUUGAGUUAAUAGGGAAUAAUUUCAAAUCAUUUAUCUUCUUUCAGUAAUUUCAAAUACACAGUAGUCAAUAAGAAGUUAGAAUAAAUAGUGGCCCAUUGGAAAAAGUCAAGAUAGUGGACACUAAGAACCUGAUCAAGAGCUUAAAGAAACCAACAAGGGUAGAAUCACAAAAUUCCAAAAGAAAAUCCUAGUUGAUUAACUUAUUUUGUUGAUUUGCAAGAACUAUUGUUAUGGAUACUGUGUCUGGAAUUGGUGGGUUCUUGGUCUCACUGACUUCAAGAAUGAAGUCACGGAUCCUCGCGGUGAGUGUUACAGCUCUUAGGGUGGUGCGUCUGGAGUUUGUUCCUUCUGGUGUUCCGAUGUGUUCGGAGUUUCUUCCUUCUGGUGGGUUCGUGGUUUUGCUGGCUCAGGAGUGAAGCUGCAGACCUUCGCGGUGAGUGUUACAGCUGAUAAAGGCAGUGUGAACCCAAAGGGUGAGCAGCAGCAAGAGUUAUUGCAAAGAGCAAAAGAACAAACCUUCCACAGUGUGGAAGGGGACCCCUGCGGGUUGCCACUGCUGGCUCAGGCACCCUGCUUUUAUUCUCUUACCUG
rnacentral:lncRNA from 10 species